rnacentral:rRNA from 1 species
GAUAAACGCUGGCGGCGUGCCUUACGCAUGCAAGUCGAACGGGGUGCUUCGGCACUCAGUGGCGGACGGGUGAGGAGCACGUACGUGACCUGCCCGGGAGUGGGGGAUACCCGCCCGAAAGGGCGGCUAAUACCGCAUGGGCUCGCGCUCGGUGGGGCGUGAGCAAAGGACGCAAGUCCGCUCCUGGAGGGGCGUGCGGCCGAUUAGCUGGUUGGUGGGGUAACGGCCUACCAAGGCGAUGAUCGGUAGCUGGGCUGAGAGGCUGACCAGCCACACU